CAGCCGCCACGGUAAUACGGAGGGUGCAAGCGUUAAUCGGAAUUACUGGGCGUAAAGCGCACGCAGGCGGUCUGACAAGUCAGAUGUGAAAUCCCCGGGCUUAACCUGGGAACUGCAUUUGAAACUGUCAGGCUGGAGUCAUGUAGAGGGGGGUGGAAUUCCAGGUGUAGCGGUGAAAUGCGUAGAGAUCUGGAGGAAUACCGGUGGCGAAGGCGGCCCCCUGGACAAAGACUGACGCUCAGGUGCGAAAGCGUGGGGAGCAAACAGGAUUAGAUACCCCAGUAGUCCCUGUCUCUUAUAC
rnacentral:rRNA from 1 species